rnacentral:rRNA from 1 species
ACUCCUACGGGAGGCAGCAGUGGGGAAUAUUGCGCAAUGGGGGAAACCCUGACGCAGCAACGCCGCGUGAAGGGUGAAGGCUCUCGGGUUGUAAACUUCUUUGAUCAGGGACGAAUAAUGACGGUACCUGAAAAACAAGCCACGGCUAACUACGUGCCAGCAGCCGCGGUAAU